CCUCUCACCCCCUGCUCCUCGACCUCUCGCUCUCUGCUCCUCCUACCGCACCGUUCGCCACCCCACAACCGCUCGCCGCUUCGCCGCCUUCCGCAGCCGCGCCCCUUCGCCGUCGCCCACCUACUGCCCUUCUCUCCACGCACUUUUCCACCCUCACGCAGCCGCCGCCAGCGCCUUGUGCCCCAACGCCGCUAUCGCCAUCACCUCCUCCCCAUGGUCCGCGAGCUAGACGCGCUGCCGGGAAGAAUCCACCAUCUACGGCCUUGCGGCGCUCGCCGGGGACACCGCCGCCGCCGCCUCUAUCCUUUCCGGAUGCCUCUGUCUCCUCUCUACAGCGGCCUCCUCAUCUCUUCACGGCUGCUCCAGAGGUCGCCCCCUCGAGCAUCGCGUCCUCUUCUCCACCACCACCUCGCCGCCGCCUCCUCCCUUCGGUUCUCUCCUCGAAGCUCCAUCAAGUGGUCACUGCCGCCUGCUGCCUCUUCUCUCCUGCAGGACGACGCCUCCCCAUCCACCAUCUGCCGCCGCUGAACUGGGUGGCAGUUGCGGCCAUGGGGGAGUAGGGGUGGCAUGGUCUUCAUGGUCGUUAUGUACAAGAAGACGAGGACGACAGUGGGGGGAACGAGCAGCGAGGCCGGAGCUUCACUAUGGAUUUGAGGAUGCAACUCGCUGGCCACCAUCACCGUCCGCAAUCUGGGCUGCCCAUUUGCGUCUCGCCAUCUUCCUUCCCAAUACUUAACUUAGUUCUUUGACAGUCUAAUUUCAAUUUUGUCAAUUUAUGGCUUUUCUAGGCAAUGAUGUGAGACAGAAAAGAAGAGGAAGACGUUGGUGAAGGAGAGGGCAGCACAAAUGUACACCGCUGUGGCCAGGUUAUUCCAUACGACACAGCCACAGGUGAUGUACAUGAAUGACGGCAGAUGGUUGAGGAUUGAGGGAAUGUAGAUGCGACUAGCGAGCACUUACUCUGAGGUGCUUUCAGAUGAUGGUUUAAUAAGACUGUUUGGACAAAAUUCUGAUUUUUCAACACUUGUUCCAUGUGCGAAUAUUCUGGGAGCACCAACUCCAACUGCUGACAAGGUGAAGCUUAUGAUCAGUACAACUUUGUUUGACAUUUGGCUGGGCUAAAAAAAAUAUCAAUGGGAGCUUUGGACGGCCCGAUUGCAUUAGUGCCUGUGGUUGUGAACGUGUAAGCCUGCAUCCUGUGAUCUUCUCUUUGACGGUUCGACUUUGCUUCCAUAUCUCCUCCUUCGGUCCUCCACAGCCUCCAUGACCAUUGUCCGUGCACAGCCGCCGUCUGCCGCAGCUUUGUCAAUCGUCCUUCUCAGGUGUCAGCGAUCUUAGCCGUGAGGAGCGAGCGACACACCGUUCCCGUCGACGCCGUCGUCCGUCGGCAUCCGGUAUUGCUGUAUGCUAUACAUGUACUGAUUGUGAUUGGCGUCCCAUCCGACACCAGAACGAGAACCCCUUCAAUUUAAUGUGUUAGUCAUAGAUAUGGAUAUUGUUGACCAUAAAAAAGAACCUAUCAACAAGAGCCCGAAGGUCAUGUCGUUGGAAGAGACUAAAACCUCAGCAAGUUCUAUACAGCCUACAGAUGCGCAGAUAGAAAUAGCCAAUUUACGUCAUACCAAACCAAGAAGAGCAAAUACAAAUAUUACACCACAAGUAUUAAAUCAACCAUGUCCUUACCUGAAAAAACUAUGUUGGUGCACAUCAAUGAUGCAUUAUUAUCAAAUGCAGAGAUGAGGUGCCUUAGGCAUGAUGAUGUGUUUUUGCAUGAUGAUGUAAUAAAUGCAUAUAUAUACUGUAUAAGUGCCCAGGAGCAUCUGCAAGAUAGAGUGGGUGGAAUGGUACAUAUUGCAAGCACGUUUGUGUCUUCCCUGCUAAAGAACGAUGAGGUAGACCGGGCAACACAUCGCCACAUUGUAAAACGAGUGAAUGCUUUUUUGGAGCAUGACAUGGUAUUCCUUCCAGUUAACAUCAGAAAAUGCCACUGGUAUCUAUCAGUAAUCAAUGCGAAGAAACGAGAGAUACAGGUACUGGACUCGCUUGGAGUUGGAAUGAGCCGAAGUGACCUCACUAAGAUGUUACAAGGACUUGACCAGCAUCUAAAAAUCGCAUGCAAUAUGCCAGAGUUUAAGAGAGGUGAUAGGUGGCAGGACCUCGAUAUUACGAAUUGGAAAGUCGUAGAACAGCUCCAAGAGCCAAUCCAAACAGACGGGAGGACAUGAAAGAAUUUCGACGAAAGAUAAUUUGAUUAAGCGCAACUGGACAUGAUCUACUAGGUGUAGUUUCUGUGAUCGGGAUGAAACUAUCAAGCAUCUUUUCUUUGAUUGCCCGAUGGCGAGGGUGUUGUGGCGCUCGGUGCAAAUUGCCUUUAACAUUACUCCUUCAAAUUUGGUCAGGUCGUUUUUUGGAACGUGGCUGGUUGGUAUAGAGGCUGAAACAGCUAGACAAAUUUGAGUGGGAGCAUGUGCGUUGUUAUGGGCAAUUUGGAACUGCAGAAAUGACUUGGCUUUUAACAGAACCAUUUUUUGCAGGUUUUAUUCCGGGCUACUGCGCUAAUCCGUACGUGGUCAUUACUCACUCCGACGGAGGCCAGGGCGCGUUUGGUUACUGGAUCUGUCCGGUGGGAGAUGGUAGCGCGGGAUAUCUUCAACUGGUUUGGAUGACGGUCAUGUAAUAGGAUAGGCGCUUAGUUUACCUAUCUCUCUUUAUUAUGCCAGCCGGUUGUGGCUUUUGAGCCUUGUUUUACUUUGCUAGCUCUUUGUGAGCUAGCAUCCUUUAUUGCAGCACUUUGCAAGACAUUGUUGAACUAUUUUAUUUAUUUAUAAAUGUGGCCGUAUGCAUCGUUCUGAUGCAGAGGCAGGGGAAUCCCCCCUUUUCGGAAAAAAAUGAAAGAAUUUCGACGAAAAUUAGCUGUCAUACUAUUGGAAACAGAACUUAAUACGUUAAAAGGAAGUCCAAUAUAUUAUCGUUCUGACAAUGAAGAAAAUGUAUCUAAUUCUGAUGUUGAGUUUCUGGAGGACCGAAAGCGUAAGCAGCAAGAUUCACCCGAUGGAGCCAAAGACAAAAGCCCCCUUCCAAACCCUAUCCGGCGUAACCGCAAGAUUUAGUUGAUGAACUAUGCAACCACAUCAUGUCAAUUAAUGAUGCUAAUUCCCUGGAGAAGGAGUGGGUGUGAAGCUCUAAACCCCAUCCGAUAGGAUUAAGUCUCAGAAGGAUUCAAGGUAUACUCCGCAGGGAUCAGCCGUUGGACAUUGAUUGUUUCGACAUGGCUAUACGUAUACUUGCAUGUGACAAGGCCUUAC